ensembl:lncRNA
GGAAGACGGAAACGGCAGCUGGGAAAAUCAGAAUGAAAUCAUGAACUUCUCAAGCCUGUUUUUUUCCUUCUGUGUCUGGGAGCUAAGCUCUUAGGUGCGCUCGGCGUCCGCUUGAGCCAAAGCUCGCGCCAUUGUAACGGCUGCAAGAGCAGACAAUUAGUUUCAGUUUGGACUGAGGCUGAUGUUGACACGAGGAAGCCGUAUAGUCUCGAGGGCGGCUGAGAAGGCAGCCACCCACUGGGGAUUUGGGAAAAAGCCAGAGACUUUUCCGUCGCUCUCACAAGCAACUUUGGAUGUGUCCCUCGUCGCUAAUGUGGCAAUCCUGAAGGCGAGACAACGUUUUAUUCAUCCAUCAGCGGUACGCUCGACUUUGCUUCGGUCCAGAUAGCUCUGUCCCUCCCUGACCUCUCGUGACCUCAGGUAUCAUGGAAAUGCUCCGAGGGUCAAAAUAAGUGCUUAAAGGGAAGCGGCUGAAUUGAGUCAAUCUUCACUGUUUUUCUAUGGUUUCUAUUAUGUAUAAAAUUGUAUGUUAUCCGAAAAUGUAUUCUGAGACUGAAUCCUGGCCCUGAGAUGUACUACAUGGAGGUUAGUAGAUGGGCACCAUUUAGAAUAAUUCAAUCCUAUUUAGAACAGUAAAGAAGGAUAUUAGGAUUACCAUGAAAUUAAAGUCUGUGUUUAGUUAACAAAAUGUAUAACUGCUCCGUUUCUUCCCAAUUGUUUCUAGCGAUUGUUCUGCUGUACUGAAACUUUACUGAAAGGUUGAACUCCCGAAGGCCUCGGGGCUCUGCGCUAUUUAAGUUUUUAAAAUGGGUCCACUUUUUCAAAAGGCUUCCUUUUUCCAUCCUUACAUGGACAUUUAAAUGUCAUGUCUGUAUCUCCCCCUUCUUUAACCGUUCGUUGUAUUACCAGAGUAAGAGGAACUACGAUGAUGACAGACUCUAAAGUCCCUUUCCUGCUAAUGAAGUUUUUCUAAGCAUCAUUCAUCGGCCCACUUCUUUGUCAGUUCCGUAUUCAUCAUAACGUAACUUGACUAUUAUUAUUUGAGUCAUUUUUUUCAACUUCACGCACUAAUAAUAUUUUUAUUUGUUGUUGUUGUUGUUGUUUGUUCAUUUCUUCCUUCUUUUCCCCCUCAAUUAAAAAUACUUGUGUUGGAUUUCUAACAUCUUUAUUUCAUGGCAAGUUCUUAUGCAUGUUUUAUUUCUACUUCUUGACUAAAUGUGGUUUACCAUAAAGCCAACAAUAAAGGGUAAUUAAAAUGUCAUUGUGAUCAAAUAGUGAGAAAAUAACAAUGGAAACAUGUUCAUAUGUGUGUGUGUGUGAGAACAUAGAGUAUCACAGUUGGUUUAUUGUGGCCUGUAGAACAGCGAGCAAUAGUGAGGGAAAGACCUCAAAUACAGACCUUUAAUAAAAGUAUUCUAAAAUGUCA